GGGGACCAUUCGUUUUUUCGCGUUGCCGGCGCUUGCUGUGUGGUCGAUGUACUGGUUACAGCCAGGCUUCAUACGCUAUUGUCCUGCCCGUGAGUUCCCGUUUUGUGUGUGGUUAGAGCAGCCAGCGGGUAUAGAAUGGAUUUUGGAGGAGGGAGUCACCACUGGGCCUACAAGGAAGCCACGUGCAGACAUCUACAACCUUCGAUCUCCUGACAAGUUUAUUGUUGGCCAAAACCAGGCUUUGAUUAAACCAGGAUGAAUGCAGGUGUUGGGAAUAGAAUAUAUAUAUACAUAUAAAACCGGUUGGGAGCCACAUGUACCAGUGUGUUGAUCUUGGCUUGAUUCAGUCAGAGUUGCAGCCUUGCUACGUUUACCCAGGCUGGAGUGUAGUAGCUAUUCACCGGCAUGAUUGCUUGAAACUCAAGGCCUCAAGAGAAACUCCCACCUGAAUAUCCUCCGUACAGCCACACACCCCACUGCUCAGCUUCUCAUCCUUUAAAAGAUUUUUACUGAAACUGGUGAUGGAAUAUGAGAGGAGUCCUCUGGAAAGAAAAGAACAGACCCUGUGCUUUCAUGAAAGUGAAGAUCUGGCUGAACCAGUUCCACAAGGUUAUUGUAUACAUAGCCUGGGUUUAAAAGGCUGUGCCCACUUUGAAGAAUGUCAUUGUUAGACUUUGCUGAAAUUUCUAACUACCUAUCUGGAUAAAGUAAAUAAAAUCUUUUAAAUCAAAA